GACGAACCGUGCGAACGUUAUUCGGAAUCAUUGGGCUUAAAGGGUGCGUAGGCGGGCUCGUGAGUCAGGGGUGAAAUCCCACGGCCCAACCGUGGAAGUGCCUCUGAUACCGCGGGCCUCGAGGGGGAUAGGGGCGUGCGGAACUUCCGGUGGAGCGGUGAAAUGCGUAGAUAUCGGAAGGAACACCGGUGGCGAAAGCGGGUCUCUGGGCCGAUAUUGACGCUGAGGAGCGAAAGCGUGGGGAGCGAACAGG
rnacentral:rRNA from 1 species